UGGGUUGUGGCUCAGAGGAAAGAGUGCUCACUUAGCAUGUGUGAGGCACUGGGUUUGAUCCUCAGCACCACAG
rfam:Ictidomys tridecemlineatus contig015521, whole genome shotgun sequence.